UAUGGGCCGAAAGCACUGCAUCAUCGAUGCCGCGUGUGUGAUGAGGCCUGCGGGAUGUAUUGCCCUUUCGCUGUGAUGAAAGCCGAGUGCCAUUACCAAUCGGUAAUGACGUUACAUAUAGAUGAGGCACCGGCUAUUUCCGUGCCAGCAGCCGCGGUAAUACGGAGGGUGCGAGCGUUACUCGGAAUACUGGGCGUAAAGGGCGCGUAGGCGGUGAUUUAAGUUCGGGUGUGAUAGCCCCGGGCCCAACCUUGGGAAUUGCCCUCCGAUACUUGCUCUCGCUUAGAGUUCUGGUAGAGGGAAUCUGGACUUCCGGGUUGUUAGCGGUUGAUACUGCGUAGAUCUCCGGAGGAAACACCACUGGCGAAAGGCGGCUUUCCCUGGACCAAAUACUUGACGCUUGAUGCGCGAAAGCCUUGGGGAAUCAAAAACAGGAAUUAAGAAUACCCCUGGUUAGUUCCACGCCCCCUAAAACGAAUGAGAACUUAGCCUUCUGGAGGAAAUACUAACUCCUUUUUAUUUGGCGCAACCUAAACGCGUUAAGCUCUUCUUCCCGCCCUGGGGGGAAUUUACGGG
rnacentral:rRNA from 1 species